CAGUAAUGGACCAGCUGGCUUUCCGUCAGGGACUGGGCUCCAAAUGCAAUAAAGAAAGCAACACCAUCAACAUCCAGGGGCGCAACCAUAACCGUGCCAUCUUCUGAAAAUCAUGAAAAUCGUCCAGGAACAUGUGAACUGAAUUUCUCUCAACUCACGUAGGAAGGACUGUAGUAAGUCAGAGAGGUGAGAACACAGGUCGCCACAGGGUCCCAGCACUCCCAGCACUUAAAAGAGUUGUCAUCGCCCAGGUUCCAGAACCUUACUUUGGAGCACUCCAUCCUGUCAGCCAGCUUUAGGAAGCUCUUUCCCUCGGCAAGGCACACACCGCUUGGCGGUGAUUCUGGUUGGCUGGCCCUGGCUAUUCUUAUGCCUAGGCAACAAAGGUGCCCUUUGAAGGAAGAGUGCCUCUAUGACAUGCACCUGCUUGGAGUUCAUUCAUUCUCCCAUGUAGUCAGCUGCUGAUGUGAGCGGCCGCUGAGAGGAGGCACGAAGCAGCCGCCAAGGGAGCAGAGUCACAGAACGGUCAGUCGGAUGCUCAGCUCAGCAAAGCGUGUGGACAGGAUACCAGCAUGAAGCAUUUCCUACAGUCUAGGAAAAGUGAACUUCCAUGUCUAGCCUAACUCAGCGUGGAGUCGCCUAGGAGAAGCAGCACUGGAUGGGUGCAUUGCAAUCUACAGACCCAGCUGCAGAUUCAACAACAGCUAUGUGACUCACUUCUACUCCACUGAUCCCUGAGACAACCCCAUAAAUCCAACAAGAAGACAAUAGGAAAGGACCUUCAGUUGAUGAAACCAGUCUGUGAAGAAGAGAAGAGAUAUUCAUUCUCUAAAUGAUAGACACUAACUCAAGGCUAUUGGGAUAGUAAGGAGCCAGCACCUUUCUCUAAAUGAUAGACACUAACUCAACACUAUUGGGAUAGUAAGGAGCCAGCACCUUUCUCUAAAUGACAGACACUAACUCAAGGCUAUUGGGAUAGUAAGGAGCCAGCAAGGUGCUACAGACAACUGAAAUUGGGGAAACAAUGCAGAAACAAAACCCAAAGUUAUAUCUAAAAGUAGAAACCACAGAAAUUCUAGAGCUGAAAAACAUAACGAUAGAACUGAAAGACACAGAGCAAAGCUUCAGUGAAGAUGAGACCAAGACCAUGCAGAAGAAAUAGCAAGAACAUUUUUCAAAUAUUUUUAAAUGAUUUCAAAUGUAUCUUAUGCAAUUAAAGAAACCAAAAAUGAAAAGUGAAAAACUCAGAAUGUAUCUAUAGGAUGAGAUUAAGUAAGCAACUACAUGAGUUAUGGGAGAUUUUGGAAGAGGAGAAAGAGUUACUAUGGUUAUAUUUUAAUUUAAAAAAAUAAAUUAAAAAAGGAAGAAUCAAUUAAAAUUUCUACAUUCUAAGAGAUAUAUACAACCGGAUACUUGAAACUUAAGUCUCUAAUGAAAAAAACUAAUAAUAUCAGUAGACACAGAGCAAACUGUCAAAAGAGAAGAGGUUAUCUUAAAAGUAGAAAGAGAAAAGAGAUAUAUACAUAAGUCAGCUGACUUACCAGCUAAAACUUUAAAAGAGAUAAUGGGAUGAUACAGUCAAGGUACUAAAAACCAAAUUAAAAAAAAAAAAAAACACAAGAAUUCUAUACCCAGCAAAGCUAUUCUUUAGA